rnacentral:rRNA from 1 species
UACGGGGGGGGGCAAGCGUUGUUCGGAAUUACUGGGCGUAAAGGGCGCGUAGGCGGUCUGCUAAGUUGGAUGUGAAAACUCUGGGCUUAACCCAGAGCCUGCAUUCAAUACUGACAGGCUAGAGUUCUGGAGGGGAUAGCGGAAUUCCUGGUGUAGCGGUGAAAUGCGUAGAUAUCAGGAGGAACACCGGUGGCGAAGGCGGCUAUCUGGACAGAAACUGACGCUGAGGCGCGAAAAGCUAGGGGGAGCAAACAGG